rnacentral:rRNA from 1 species
GACGAACGCUGGCGGCGUGCCUAAUACAUGCAAGUCGAACGCUGAAGAGAGGAGCUUGCUCUUCUUGGAUGAGUUGCGAACGGGUGAGUAACGCGUAGGUAACCUGCCUUGUAGCGGGGGAUAACUAUUGGAAACGAUAGCUAAUACCGCAUAACAAUGGAUGACACAUGUCAUUUAUUUGAAAGGGGCAAUUGCUCCACUACAAGAUGGACCUGCGUUGUAUUAUCUAGUAGGUGAGGUAAUGGCUCACCUAGGCGACGAUACAUAGCCGACCCGAGAGGGUGAACGGGCACACUGGGAGUGAGAGACGGCCCAGACUACUACAGGGGGGAGCAGUAGGGAAUCUUCGGGAAUGGGGGCAAGCCUGACAGUGGAAAACGGCGUGAGAGUAGAAGGUGUUCGGGUCGUGAAGAUCUGUUGUAAUUUAAGAACGGGUGUGAGAGUGGAAAGUGCACACUGUGACGGUAGCUUACCAGAAAGGGACGGCUAACUACGUG